UACUGUGCGAGGUAGUAAAAUAUCACAAAAAAAACAAAACAAACAAAAACAUUUUGGAUGAAAAUACUCAUACAAACUAGUAAAAACAACAACAACAUAAAUUAUACAUACAAAGAAAUACAAUUCAGUCUACUUCUGUUAAAAUCAUAAAGAUCCCCACAGGUUCAGGAGCACUGGAGGGCGGGGUAGUUCUUCCAUCGCAACAAACCACUUGAAGGUCUUCCGUUGUGAAUUCUUUCAGGCCCAGAAACUUUUCUUCCGUAUCCAUAAUUGGUGUCCAUUUUUAUUUUAUAAUUUUUUUUUAUGUUGACACUUGACCAGUACAGUUAUUAACAGUUACAAUAAACACCACAAAGAGACAUUUCGGUUUAGACGUUUGGUGACGUGUGCAGCUUUGUCUCCCUCUUGUGAGCUGUAGAAUGAAGCAAUAAGGCCCGAGGAAGUGCGGUAUGCGGCCAAGCGGCACGGCUAAGGGCUGUUCUUUAAGGACGACGCAACCUGGAUGGCCUGGAUACAACCCUUAGCCGUGGUAUAUUGGCCAUAUACCACAAACCCCUAUUAUAAACUGGUUACCAACAUAAUUAGAGCAGAACAAAUAAAUGUUCUGUCAUACCCGUGGUAUGGGGUCUGAUAUACCACUGCUGUCAGCCAAUCAGCAUUCAGGGCUUAAACCACCUAGUUUAUAAUACACCAUAAACCACUAUGUUGUAGAAUAAUAGUGAAGACAUCAAAACUAUUAAAUAACACAUAUGGAAACCAAAAAGUGUUAAACAAAUCAAAAUAUAUUUUACAUUUGAGAUUCUUCAAAGUAGCCGAAGUUUGCCUUGAUGACAGCUUUGCACGCUCUUGACAUUCUCUCAACCAGCUAGUCACAUAGACAGUGUGAGGGCAGACUAAGAGUUACUAGAGGUUAGUCAGUGUAUUUAUUAUAGACAGUGUGAGGGCAGACUAAGAGUUACUAGAGGUUAGUCAGUGUAUUUAUUAUAGACAGACUAAGAGUUACUAGAGGUUAGUCAGUGUAUUUAUUAUAGACAGUGUGAGGGCUGACUAAGAGUUACUAGAGGUUAGUCAGUGUAUUUAUUAUAGACAGACUAAGAGUUACUAGAGGUUAGUCAGUGUAUUUAUUAUAGACAGUGUGAGGACAGACUAAGAGUUACUAGAGGUUAGUCAGUGUAUUUAUUAUAGACAGUGUGAGGGCAGACUAAGAGUUACUAGAGGUUAGUCAGUGUAUUUAUUAUAGACAGUGUGAGGGCAGACUAAGAGUUACUAGAGGUUAGUCAGUGUAUUUAUUAUAGACAGUGUGAGGACAGACUAAGAGUUACUAGAGGUUAGUCAGUGUAUUUAUUAUAGACAGUGUGAGGACAGACUAAGAGUUACUAGAGGUUAGUCAGUGUAUUUAUUAUAGACAGUGUGAGGGCAGACUAAGAGUUACUAGUUCCAUCCUGUCAACUUUUGUCAUCCCUCUCUCCC